rnacentral:rRNA from 1 species
AUUGAACGCUGGCGGCAGGCCUAACACAUGCAAGUCGAACGAGUGGCGGACGGGUGAGUAAUGUCUGGGAAACUGCCUGAUGGAGGGGGAUAACUACUGGAAACGGUAGCUAAUACCGCAUACCAUCGGAUGUGCCCAGAUGGGAUUAGCUAGUAGGUGGGGUAAAGGCUCACCUAGGCGACGAUCCCUAGCUGGUCUGAGAGGAUGACGAGCAAAAAUGGAACAGAGACACGGUCCAGACUCCUGCGGGAGGCAGCAGUGGGGAAUAUUGCAAAAGGGGCGCAAGCCUGAUGCAGGCAUGCCGCGUGUAUGAAGAAGGCCUUCGGGUUGUAAAGUACUUUCAGCGGGGAGGCGUUACCCGCAGAAGAAGCACCUGCUAACGCCGUGCCAGCCGCCGCGGUAAUUC